rnacentral:rRNA from 1 species
UACGGAGGGUGCAAGCGUUGUCCGGAUUUAUUGGGUUUAAAGGGUGCGUAGGCGGUCUUUUAAGUCAGAGGUGAAAUCCCACAGCUUAACUGUGGAACUGCCUUUGAAACUGGAAGACUUGAGUAUAGUUGAGGUAGGCGGAAUUUAUGAUGUAGCGGUGAAAUGCAUAGAUAUCAUAAAGAACACCGAUUGCGAAGGCAGCUUACUGGACUAUAACUGACGCUGAGGCACGAAAGCAUGGGGAGCGAAC